GAUAACCUCGGGAAACCUGGGUAUAAUACCCGAUAGGUCUCGAUUGCUGGAAUGCAUCGAGAUUUAAAGCUCCGGCGCCUAAGGAUGGGUCUGCGGCCUAUCAGGUAGUAGUGGGUGUAGCGUACCUACUAGCCUACGACGGGUACGGGUUGUGAGAGCAAGAGCCCGGAGAUGGAUUCUGAGACACGAAUCCAGGCCCUACGGGGUGCAGCAGGCGCGAAAACUUUACAAUGCUGGCAACAGCGAUAAGGGAACCUCGAGUGCCAGGUUACAAAUCUGGCUGUCGAGAUGCCUAAAAAGCAUUUCAUAGCAAGGGCCGGGCAAGACCGGUGCCAGCCGCCGCGGUAACACCGGCGGCUCGAGUGGUAACCGUUAUUAUUGGGUCUAAAGGGUCUGUAGCCGGCCGGAUAAGUCUCUUGAGAAAUCUGGCAGCUUAACUGUCAGGCUUUCAGGAGAUACUGUCUGGCUCGAGGCCGGGAGAGGUGAGAGGUACUUCAGGGGUAGGGGUGAAAUCUUGUAAUCCUUGAAGGACCACCAGUGGCGAAGGCGUCUCACCAGAACGGACCUGACGGCAAGGGACGAAAGCUAGGGGCACGAACCGGAUUAGAUACCCGGGUAGUCCUAGCCGUAAACGAUACUCGCUAGGUGUCGGCCACGGUGCGACCGUUGUCGGUGCCGUAGGGAAGCCGUGAAGCGAGCCACCUGGGAAGUACGGCCGCAAGGCUGAAACUUAAAGGAAUUGGCGGGGGAGCACCACAACGGGUGGAGCUUGCGGUUUAAUUGGAUUCAACGCCGGGAAAUCUUACCGGGGACCGACAGCAAUAUGAAGGCCAGGCUGAAGACUUUGCCGGAUUAGCUGAGAGGUGGGUGCAU
rnacentral:rRNA from 1 species